rnacentral:rRNA from 1 species
CAGCCGCCGCGGUAAAACGUAGGUGGCAAGCGUUGUCCGGAAUUAUUGGGCGUAAAGGGCUCGCAGGCGGUUUCUUAAGUCUGAUGUGAAAGCCCCCGGCUCAACCGGGGAGGGUCAUUGGAAACUGGGAAACUUGAGUGCAGAAGAGGAGAGUGGAAUUCCACGUGUAGCGGUGAAAUGCGUAGAGAUGUGGAGGAACACCAGUGGCGAAGGCGACUCUCUGGUCUGUAACUGAUGCUGAGGAGCGAAAGCGUGGGGAGCGAACAGGAUUAGAUACCCCCGUAGUCCCUGUCUCUUAUAC